rnacentral:tRNA from 1 species
GGGCAGAUGGCGGAGCGGCCAAUCGCACCAGGCUGUAAACCUGGCGACGCAAGUCUACGGAGGUUCAAAUCCUCCUCUGCCCACCA